UAUUAGGUUGGUGCAAAAGUAAUCACGGUUUUUGCCAUUACUUUGGAUGGCAAACACUGCAAGUACUUUUGCACCAACCUAACAGAA
rnacentral:miRNA from 1 species